rnacentral:lncRNA from 1 species
ACGUUAUUUUGUCUAACGCCCGAUAUCUGAGGAGAAUGUCGUGACGAAUUCGUUAGACGUUCUACUUUACAUUCCAGACUAUCAAGUCUGCUACAAAUCCUUUUCAACAUUGCCAAUAGUUCAUUCGUAUGACUUGUGCUAGUAUUGUUUUGGAUAAAAUUCUUCUUAUUCUUUCGUGUAGUGCCUGAUAUCUUUUGGAGUGAUGCCUGAUAUAACGACACGUGAGGACGUUCGCUUUCUAUUGUUUGUUCUAGUGUGUUGUCCAUCAUCUCUCGAUGUAGGUCUUUCCCUAAAUUUCUGGCAUUCAGCUAAACGAGGCUUUGGAUGCCAGUUGUAUCGUGGCUGCUCAUACAUAUACGGUGAACCAAACCCAGCCCUGAUCAUGGUGUGGCGGCGGCCUAGUCAGUCUAUAACGCGGCGUCUCUCGUGUUCCCGAUAGGCUUGCCGGUUGUGAUUCUGUCUCACUAACUAAUUUAGGUUCCAACUUGUCGAGCCGGUCGCUAAUUUGCUUAAUCGCAUUCUGCAGACCUUCGGCAUCCUUGUC